rnacentral:rRNA from 1 species
AUCUUGAAUGUCAAAACGACUCUCGGCAACGGAUAUCUCGGCUCUCGCAUCGAUGAAGAACGUAGCGAAAUGCGAUACUUGGUGUGAAUUGCAGAAUCCCGUGAACCAUCGAGUCUUUGAACGCAAGUUGCGCCCGAAGCCUUUCGGCCGAGGGCACGCCUGCCUGGGCGUCACGCAUC